GCAGUGAACCCAGAAAAAAACCUAGUCUCCUUGUUAUUCCCUUACCAAACACUGAAACAGUUCUAACCAAUGAGAAAAGAUAAAGCAUGCGAAGUAUAUCUAGGAAAUUUUACUUUUCUGAUGAGGCAGAUAAUCUCCAAAGAUGGCCGUCAUAUUAUAAAUUGCUUCCUUUUCAUUCUUUCUUCCAUCCUUCUUUCCUUUUCUCCCCCCCCUCCCCACUUUUUACACUUUUGGCAUAUGGAAGUUCCCAGGCUAGGGAUCGAAUUGGAGCUGUAGCUGCCAACCUACACCACAGCCACAGCAAGACCAGAUCCGAGCCGCAUCUGCAACCAACACCACAGUUCAUGGCAACACCAGAUCCUUAAGCCACUGAGUGAGGCCAGGGAUAGAACAAACCAGCAUCCUCACAGAAACUCUGUUGGGUUCUGAACCUGCUGAGCCACGAUGGAAAGUCCUCCUUCCUUUUCUUUACAUGCUUCUUCCUUCACAUAUCAAGAGGUGAAGCCUAAUUCCUCUUUUCAUGAAUCUGGGAUCUCCUUACUGAUUGAUUUGUCUGAUACGAUAUAGCAGAAGUGAGAGUCAGGAGGUUUUGAAACUAUGCCAUUUGAAACCUUUUAGUGGCAGAGAGUUUAGUGACAAAACGCUACAGUAAUGUAGAAAAUAGAAAAUGCUACUAAUGAAUUAAUGUAUCAGUCUAAGGAGAUUUCCGGUCAGGAUGUUGAAAAUGCCUAUUCAUUUCUGUUAGACACAUAGGAUAAAAUACAAACAGAGAAAGAAUGAGCUAAAAAAGACAACUUUCAGUGUUUUAUAGAAGAAUUUUGAGGGAAAAGAAAAUAGUUAGGAUUUAACGGACUCAAAAAUAGAACUGUUUAUCACAUCCAGUCUUCGCAGGCAGAAAAUCAGAAAUGGCCUCAGGGCAAAACUUAAAAUAUUUUCAAUAACACAUAACAGGAGGAUAAAGUUCAGUCAAACAGUGUGUUUAGAGCAACCUUUACUGAAACCUCAGAAAUAUUUCUGUUAAGGCCGCAAACAAGACAAAAAGGCUUUUGUGAAAUCAGUGGCUCACAGACUUUGUUAACUAGAAAAUAGGGCUCCCAAGAAUCUUAAAGAUAUAAUUCCACACCAUUAAGACUUUCAGCCCAGAGUAGAGAGAGAAAUUGAGGGGGAUGGCUUUUGUCUAAUGCCAUGAACCCCAAUAAAACUUGACUAAAAGGAAUAGAGGAUAUUCAAAAUAAGAGAGUCCUUGGGGAUUCCAACUUUCUAAAGGCAGAAAGUGGGCUAAGAAAGCUACUCAGCAGCAAAUAUAGGCCAGUUCCAAAUGAAAAGGAAAGUUAGAGAGCAGAACCAGAAAUCCAGAGGGCAGACCCAAGGAGCAUAGAGACACAUUCUUAAGAAGCAGGACUUAGUCCCAGUCAAGUGCUCAGCUAGACUGCAGAUUUUGGGUGGAUGAGUCACUGCUGUAUGUCUCCUGUCAGAUCCCACCUCUUUUUUAAAAUUGAAGUUGUUUCUUUUGCAAGUGUCAUACCCUUGUAGCACCAGUAUAUUGAGUAGUUUGAGCAGAUAACUUACUGAGUUUAUUGAGCUGAAAUGUGUCACUUUAAUUCAAAGAGCUUCCAUUAGAGAGAAAUCAUGACUGAGAAAAUGCAUCUGAGAAACUGGGCCCUCAAUGUCCCUUGAACACGAUUUAAAUGAUGAAUCCUACACUUUAAAUCAAUCCCAUAAUGGAAUUCAAUUUGGGGGCUGUUAGAAAAGAGUCAGUCUGUUUUUCAGGUGGAAUGGAUAUGAAUACUGGUAGCCAGAGAGCAGACCAUAGUAGACAGUCUUCAAAAAUGGCCACCGCUGACUCCUUAUCUCCAUGCCCACAAAUGCUGUUUCUCACAUGACGUGGUAGACUGUAAUUUCCUUCCCUUGAAUCCGAGUACAUCUUCAUUAUUUUCCUGACCAACAGAAUAUGAUAGAAGCAAUAUUUAAAAACUUCUGAGGUCAGGUCAGAAAAACCCUUGCUGCUUUCAUUUUUAACACUCACUCUUGGGAUGUUGCUUCUCAGAACCCAGCUGCCAGACUAUGAGAAGCCAAGGCCAUAUGUAAGCAUUUGUUGAGCCCCCAGCCCACAGCCAGCAUCAAGUCAGCCACCUGAGUGAGUCACCCUGGACCUCCAGCCCAGUUAUGCCUUCAGUUACCUCCAGCACCAAUCACAGUCUGACUGUAGUAUGAAAGAUCCAAGUAAGGACAGUUGAACCUAGUCAAUACACAGAGGCAUACGUGAUGAUAACAAAUUGUCUUCAGUUCUGAGGAGGUUUGAUGUGAAAUAAUAGAUGUCAGGAACACCUGUUAUCUGGCACAACCAUUCUUCUUUUAGUCCUUCCCUCCUUCCUUUUGUAAACAAAGGCAUGAUGCCUGCAGCUGGAACAGUCAUCUUGAGACCAUGACGGAAAUACCAGAGAUCUUGACCCUGAAUUCCUUGAGCUAUAAAAGAAGCACUAGCAACCACAAACUUCCCGACUUUAGGAUAUUAGGAAAAAGAAUCUCCUAUUUGGGUUUUUUGGUCACACACAGCAAUGUAAACAAACUGAUACUCCAGGGAUGAGGUGAAUAUACAAAAUGAUACCAUAAAGUGUUGUACGUCAUUAAACAGGGGCUGCUGGUUCAGCUUUGACCCUUGUGGGCAAAGAAAAAGCUUUAGUCAUACAAUUGCAAAAUUGCCAGAGUAUAUAAAACAAAAAAUCCAACUAGCUGUUCAGUGGGAACAUAAACAUUUCAGAUACUGAAUUGAAGUAUCUCUUAUAGGACUUAUAAAAAAAAAAAAGAUGAUGUGAUAUAAUCUAUAACUUAAUCUUUGCUAACAAGUUAAAUGUGACCUUAUCUCUCAUAGCUAUGUAUUUUAUAAGAUCUCUCUCAUAAUGCCAGACAGUCCAAAGCAGUUCUACAAAAUGAAGAACAAUGAAGAACAGUUUUAUAGCUGUUGGUGGGUGGAACUAACCCAAGCAUAAAACUCUGAGUAGAGGACCUGGUGGCCAGCAAUUUCUACUACCAACCUUUCUUUAAUACAAACAAACAAACAAACAAACAACUUCUUGCUAGUAAGCUGUUGAUAAUUUAGUCAGGUAAAAUCCAGCAGUGUAAAUACUGCAUAUAAUUAAAGACAGACUCAAGUAUAGAUGGAGACAGAGUUAGCAUUCUCUUAUGGAAAUUUAAGAGCCUAAUGAGGCAUGCCUGGAUGGGAGGCUCUAAUUCAGUCUGGAGAUUGGCUGAGAUUGUGACAGUAACAGAGUAAGGAUUUUGUCUUAAGACAUUUUUCUUCAUUUUGCAACAAAAAUGACAAACUGAGUUGCUCAUGAUUAAGCCAUAAAGUACAUGCCAAUAAUUUUAACUUGGAAAAAUGUUAAAUUGGGUACUGCCAAGUGCCCUCUUUGAUUAUAUGUAUACAGGAACAUGGUAUUGAUUUGGAUACACGAGGUGAAGGAAAUGCCAAGGAAGAUUCCAUGACUUUCCUUCUGGUUUCUGUACUAGCAAUAACGGGGUAACUUUGUCUCUCUCGAGUGAUACUUAUGGCACCUUUAUAUUAUACCAAGUGUAUAGAAUUUCAGAGCAUAGAUAUGAGACAAUAAAAUCAUAAUAUGACUUUAUUUUCCUACCUAAUUUCCCUGUGCCUCAGUUUCCUCAAUUCCUCAAAUUUAUUUUAUUUUAUUGUAUGUAUAUUUAUAAUCAACCUUGGCCUUUCUUUGAAAACAAACUGAGAUUUACAUUCAUAAAGUUAAAUUUCCUAAACUUAUAUCCAAUAGGCCAUUCUGCUGUUUUAUAGCUGUUUGAUUUGGAGCAUAUUCUUCAAUUUUUCUGAGCCUCAUUAUACUUGUCUGCAAAUUGAAGCUAAUGAUCUCUUUCUCAAAGAGUUAGCGAGGACUGAAAGAAUGAACAGAUCUAAAGCAUUCAGCAUAUUAGUAUUCAAUUAGUCUCAACUAUUAGUAAUAUGUGGAGAAUAAGAGAUUACAGAAAAAGAAAUUUGGAAGAUAACUAAGUAGAGGAAAAUGAUGAAGUUAGAAUGCAACAGAAAUCUGUUAGUGCCUGAAGCUCUGCUCUUAAUCAAGAUGUGGUUAAUCUUGAGACUGGUAGAGGAUCUCAAUCUGAGGAUACAACAGAAUCAUAUAUGGAGCUUUCUUAAUGUACAGGUACUCAGACCACUCCCUAUGCCAAUAUAACAUGAAAUCUUGAGUGGGGGAACAGAACAUGUGUGUAUGUAUGCACACAUAUCUUUAAUUUCCAUAGGUCAGAAACCACCACACUGCCUGCAGAAAAGAAAGCUUGUUCUUCAACAGUUCUAUGCAGAGUCCUUUUGGUCUCGCUAAUUGUUUUGGCUUUCAUGUCCCCAGAUAUACUUGUUUUUGUAUUAUGAACAUCAUGAAAAAGUUAAAAAUAAAUAAAACACCCAGAGUGGAUGUUUUUCCUAGGAAUGAUGUUAAGUACCUUGAUAGGCAACUACUUCAGGAGCAAUAAACAGUGGACACCUGUGGAUGGAAGAAAUAAACUUGAUUAAUCUACCCCUAUUUCAAGUCCAUUUUACUACAGCGAAUUGAAAAAAGAGAAAAAAAAAAAAAAAAACUCUCUUAAUAUGCCUGAGUCCUCUGGAAUGUUGUCAAAUUAGUUUAUGGAACACUGUGAAAUUAAAUUCACUUCAGAAUUAUGGAAUAUUGUGAAAUUAAAUUCACUUAUCCAUAUCUUGAAAAGAGAAUAUUGAAAUCCAUAGAAAAGACAAGCCAAAAAAUUGGGAUGGUUACUUUUGGAGCCUAGUUUGCCCUAUUCCAAGAAAGAAACAAUUUUCAGCAGAAAUGAUCCAGAGUUUGUCUUUUCUGAAAGACUGCUCCUGCUGAUUUUUUUCCUUAGAUCUUAGGAUUUGUUAAAUCCAUAGCUCUAAGUAUAGCAUAAUGCAAAUUUGACAAGCCAAGGGCAACUAAUUAAAGGUCACAUGUCUGUUGUUUAGAAACAAGUAAAUCCACAGGUUUCUUGGACACCCCCCCCCCCGACUAUAAUUGUGCUUGUCCACCCAAAAUUUAGUUGAUUUAUCCACAAGAAGCUACUGGCCCAUGAGAAGCCACUUGGACUUUUAGGGAAGGAGAUUAGACCCUGCACAUAUGAGUAGUAACAACAGAGUCAGUGGGAAAUGAACAUAAAACAAGGGGAUAAGAGCGAAGUCUGGAGCUUAAAGACUGCCAUUCUUCCUGGUUUGGCGAUAAAGGAUUUUUUAAAAACCUACCAAAAAAGACCUAAUCUGCACUCUAUAUCAAGAACUUUUUUUCAGGCUAGAGGAUGAGCAGAAUCAAAGGGUAAAAUAAACUCCUAAUCCUUACUAAGUAAUAACAAUAGGUGUGGGCCCAGGCUGCCCUAAAAAGGACUCUUGGAGAUUAGAAUAACAAUGAGAGAUGUUUAGCUUACUUUGCUUCAAAAUGCCGAUUUGAGAAAAACCACUUGAAUAAUUUUGCCUUAUCCCUGGUGGUAAAUUAUGAGCACUCUAGGAAACUGUAUAAUAAGAAUGGGGAGAAAUCAAAUAGAAACACACAUAUUUAGGGUCAGAUGAAAAACAGAUCCAGCAACCUGACUAGAUAUCCUAUAGUGUGGCUAUAGAAUAGGAUCUUUUAAUGAAAUAUGCAUCAUCCAUGGGUUCUCAACCAGUCUGACUUGAAAGUUUUGGGGAAGUUCCCUCUUCUAACUUCUUUUCUUCUACCAAAAUGCCACUGAUACAGGCAGGCAAACUAUAUUGGAAACUCUGGAUUUAAAAUGUUCAACUUCUAAUGUAUGGACUGAUGAUGUGAAAUGGAAUGAAACAUUAAACAUCUGUCUUAGUAUACCAAGCAUAGCAUCUGUACUGAGAACAAUUUUUUGCUGGAUUUUUAUAAGACGCUGAACAUAAAGCUAUUUAUGAAAGCCAUCUUUAAAGUGCUGGGAUAGCCUGAGGAAUACCAGGGAGAUAGAUAUUCCUAUCACAUGUUUUUGGAAUGGAUUACUUUACUAUAUCAUCUCUUCAAUAGUUUUUCCUACAAGUUACUUUACCUUCCAACAUGAGAGAAAAAAAACUAUCUUUCCCUUACUGCUUCACUUUAAAAAGGAAGUUAGGUAAAACUAUAUCAAAUAAGCAAAAAUGAAUAAAACUAUAAGACAGUGAAAGAGAG
rnacentral:lncRNA from 1 species